rnacentral:lncRNA from 1 species
GAAGAACACAAGCUUAUUCUUCUUAUGAAAUAGUGGUUCUGAGGAAAUUGGAACCUUUUUGCAGGGAAAUUUUCCAGCCAUUCUUGGGCUCUCUGGCUGCAGGCGGAGAUCCAUAUUCAUGGUCUCGUUGCUCUCUUCAAGGACCUCUUUAGUAAAUCCACCUCUCAGAGGCACCAGGAAAGCCUUAGGAUCUCACACCUUCCCAUCUCCACAACCCCCUCCUUCUCCUGCCCACCACCCUGGCAAGGCAGGAUGGUUUCCCCUCUCUUGCUCACAGCCUGCACCUUCACACUUCCUGCUUUGGUUCGGGUCAAGACCAGCUCCCAGAAAUAUGCCUCUGUCCUAGACAGUCUUGUUUGAAAUGUAAGUCAUUGAUAAUGAGGACAAAGAGCCUUGGAGGGAAGGGAGGGAGGGAGAGAAGGGAGGACCAGGGAGAAGUCAUAUGGAGGUUGGCAGUCCCUCUCAGGUCCUUUCUGGAUUUUUCCUUCUGUAGCAAUGAAGGUAGAGUCACACUCUACUGCCCUCCCUGGGGCAGGGAUGUAACUCCUGACCCCAUCCUUUUGCACUUUAAGUUUCCUGUUUGGGUCUCCAUGUUCCCCUUUUGGGAAAAAGGUUGAUGAUAAAAACAAGGUCACCACAGAUUCCACUUCCCUCUCCCUUGAGUGAUGUCAAAGGUGACACUGAAUGAAUCUAGCAAAGAAGUAUUUUCUAAAGCUUUUGAUUCUGAAAUGGAAUCAUUCAUCCAUGAUCCAGCAACUCUAGAGACCAGAUGCCUUACCCAGUUGGAACCACCAAGAUGCUGCAAAGGCAGAUUCUUCUCACUGGGAAGCCCAAGUUCCAGAAUGCACAUGUUUUGCCCCAUCUUGCAGGAAUGUUCCCUCCAGGAGAAGAAUAAAGCUAGAACAAAAAAGCAAGACAAACAAGCGACUGUGAAAAAAAAAAAAACGCCCCAUUCAAAGGCUUGCUUUUUCUCUUGGGCACAGGCAUAUAUAUCACCUGUGUGCAAAAAGGACAUCUGACCAUCUGACUUGGUGCAGAUACAAGACCAUCUGCUGCUCAAAGUGUCUUCUAAAACCCCCUGAAGAUGCCAGGAGAUCCCAGCCUGUGUACAGCCUAUUUUUCAAGGAACACUGCGGCCAAACAUUUCUUUGAAAUUCUGGUGACAGCCCUUUCGAAUGCUACAAGAAGUGUUGGGGAAAAAAAAAACGUUGAAAACAAGAUGUGAUUUAAAGAAGAGCCAGGUGGAGAUGCUGGGUGUCUAGGUGGUUGAGCACCUGCCUUCAGCUCAGGUCGUCACCUCGGAGUCCUGAGAAGGAGCCUGCUUAGAGGGAGCUUCUCCCUCUGCCUAUGUCUCUGCCUCUCUCUGUGUAUCUUUCGUGAAUAAAUAAACAAAAUCUAAAAACA